UGAAGUGAUCAAGAGAGUGGGGCGAGAGAACCGCGACAGGUUCGUGAGCGGUGAGCUCGUAGUGUUGUCGCCAAGGAGAGCGCCGGGGAGGACCAUCGCGAAGCACGGGGAGACCGGGAGUAGAACUCGUGGCCUCCGUGCGGGUCCUUGAUGGAAGAUUGGUCCCGGGGCCUCUUGGGGCCUCUCGAGGCAGCACAAGACAAAGGGUUGUAGAUGAAAGUUUUACUGUCCAAGGAAUAGGAGUGUUGUCGUGAAUGUGGACUAGGGCAUCGAUGGGGCCACCUACGAGCCAAGGGUGACCUGCCUCUCGAGGCAGCACAAGACAAAGGGUUGUAGAUGAAAGUUUUACUGUCCAAGGAAUAGGAGUGUUGUCGUGAAUGUGGACUAGGGCAUCGAUGGGGCCACCUACGAGCCAAGGGUGACCUGCCUUCACGUGCCAGGACCAGGAGUAAAAUCAAAUACCUGAAUCAGGAGUCAGGACCAGGAGGCAGGAAGAGUCAGGAACCAGUGGCCAGUAAAACAGGAACCUAGCACAGCCUGGCUCUGGAUGCUGAAGCUGUCCUGACAUCCUCAGUGUGCACACAUUUCAGACCAUGUUUACUGCAUUCCAACAAAGUGUACAGUGGAUGAAGAGGGCUUCCACAGCAGAAGCACACAGCUCAUUUACUAUGGACAGAAGAGCUGUUCUUAAGUGCAGGUGGGAUGGCUUGAGCAACUGCAGGCAACAGGUGCUAGGUUGCCGCCUCUUGGUUCUCGCUCUGGGCCCUUGGUUUGGGUCAGCACCCACCUACGUACCGUUCACAACCCGUCACAUCGCUCCCCCUCACUUGCAAGAACUUCACUGAGCCUGUGAGGCACGCUUGCAACGAGUCCCGCAGCGUAACCGUUUGUGCCCCGCAAUUCUUCCCACUCUUGAAGAAUGACCUCCCAAAGCGUGUCGGGACUACGGAGCGUCGACUCUUUGUUCUUUAAGCGGCUUCGUAUGAUUCCCCAGACCUCCUCGAUGGGGUGGAUGUCACGGCUGUUGGCGGGCCAGGAGAUGCAGCUGACACCCCGCAUUUCCAGGUGGUCUUCGACAAUGGGUGACAGACAAGGAGGGUAGCAACCGUGCUGGAGGGUGAAAGAACCGUCAGGGUACGGUCCGCCGCGGAGAUACGGGAGAGCCACCUGGUCGAUGAUUUCAGAGUACUUCUUUUCGGUGAAGCGGCCCUCGACUCGGGUGAGGGGUCCGAGCCCGUGGCACGUCAGGAUGCCCCAGACGGUCACCACGUGCGGCAGGAUGGAUAAGAUCUCGUCUGGACUGCACCUUGAGAAAAGAAUGACGCACACAUUGGUGUCCGUAAAGAUAUCAAAAUAAAUCAAUUUUGAACAGGUUU